CAGCAACACUGGGACUGAGACACGGCCCAGACUCCUACGGGAGGCAGCAGUGGGGAAUCUUAGACAAUGGGCGCAAGCCUGAUCUAGCCAUGCCGCGUGUGUGAUGAAGGUCUUAGGAUCGUAAAGCACUUUCGCCAGGGAUGAUAAUGACAGUACCUGGUAAAGAAACCCCGGCUAACUCCGUGCCAGCAGCCGCGGUAAUACGGAGGGGGUUAGCGUUGUUCGGAAUUACUGGGCGUAAAGCGUACGUAGGCGGAUCAGAAAGUUAGGGGUGAAAUCCCGAGGCUCAACCUCGGAACUGCCUCUAAAACUCCUGGUCUUGAGUUCGAGAGAGGUGAGUGGAAUUCCAAGUGUAGAGGUGAAAU
rnacentral:rRNA from 1 species